rnacentral:tRNA from 1 species
GCCCGGAUGGCGGAAUUGGCAGACGCGCCAGACUCAAAAUCUGGUUCUCGCAAGGGAGUGCCGGUUCGACCCCGGCUCCGGGCA